UCUACAUGCAGUGGAAGGAUGCAGAUAUGACAGCUCUCGAUCUUGGAGUUCUUUAUCCAUAAAUACAGUUUCAAUGCAUUCCUGUGCUUCUGUAUUUAGAAGUAAAUCACAUUGAAUCAUAUGAGCCUUGUAUCAGUGGAUCAGAAUAUUUCCAGCAGCUUCCACUGUUUUUACAGAUUCAGAAACCAGGUUGUUGAAGAGGAUAGCAUUUUACUGGAAGAAUGGAUACCUUAAAAACUCGCCUGAUUUCUUGGAUUAGAAGAGAAGUACUCUGAACAUUUAAUUCAUGAAGAAACUAAAAUUCAAUUAUGGCUAUGCAGUGCUUCAUAUUUUAUUCCAAAAAUGUGUUUUGGAGAUGAAGCAUUGCUCUGCAAUUUUAAAACAACCAUAUUUUUUUCUGUACUCACAUGGCAGUUUCAGAAGACAGCCAUGGAAGCUCAGUAAAAGAUAUGGCUGCUUUAAAGAGCAUUGCAUUCCUAAGUAUACCAGAACAUCUGUUAAGAAUUUUAUUUAAAGUGCUGCCCAAUCCUAUUUCUAGGUGUUCAAAAUUGAGUUGUACUGCUGGUAUAAGAAUUGCCCAUGUUGUUGAAAAUGGUUACAGAUUUCAAACGUUCUUGGAUAUACAUAUAUACAUACAUACAUACAUACAUACAUACAUACAUACAUACAUACAUAUAUAUAUCAGGUGCAGGAAUACAAUUUUAAUUUUCCGCCUUAGUGUUUCUCUCCCAAUUUAAUAAUUGUUCAGGAUUUAUAUUUGUAAAGUAGUAAGAUUGAAAAUAUAAAUAUAAAGAGGAAUAGGAACAUAGCCUGCAAAUUUUAUUCUUCUUUUGUAUCUCUGAGUUUUAUUGUUAUCAGGCAUACUUUGCUAAAUAUAAGCAUUUUAUUUGAAAGAAAGCUUUAUCUUUCUCCUUUUAACACCUGACAUUAUUAAAAUCUUCCAUGCUGAGACAGCCAAACAGUAGCUACCCAUUCUUUAAGAAUGCAGCAAAAAUAGUGGCUGGGUGCAUCAACCUUCAUUAUCAUUAUGAUUCUGUUCUGCUGCUUUUACACUGGAACCUCAGAAUUAUGUUGAUGACUUGUUUUAUCACAAUGGUCUCUUUAGUGAAAAUAGGAGUGCCACACUGGAGCAUGUCCCAAAGUUGUGCUUCAUAGUAGACUGUUUGGCCACUGUGCUGUCUUCUCAGCCCUUCAAUUGCUGCUGUAAAUUGAACUGACCUUAGACUUUUAGGACACCAGAAUCAGUUAGAGGUGAUACAUUAUACAUUCAUUCCUAGGUCCAAACUAUAUAUACAUAUUUCUAACCAGUUUUUUAUCUUUCGGAGUUAAAUUGGUUUUAUGACUUUACAGAACUAUCUGGUAAUAUCUGAAAUUACAGAUAUUACAUUACAUUACAUCUUUCAUAAAUAAGAACUGCUAAUAAAAAUAGGUGCUAAUUAAGCUCAAUAGUAGUGACAACCCUCAAGUGCCAAUAGAAAAAAAAAAACCUUUUCUUACACCUUUUGAAAAAGAUACCAGAAGAAUUGCUAUUGUGUCUUCUGAUUGCUGACUGUUCCAUAAAGUGGGAGUUACUACAGACAAAGAUUGUUCCAGACAUCUACUGACUCAAAUCGUGAAUUUGGUGGUGGUGGUGAUGGUCUAUGAACAUCCUUCCCAGAAGUUUCAUGUUGCAAAAUAAUUAUAGAAUUGAAUGAUAUAGGAACCAUGACAGGGCAGUGGUUAGAAUGCAGUAUUGCAGGCUAAUUCAGCUCAUUGCCAGAAGUUCGAUCCUCACCAGUUCAAAGUUGACUCAACCUUCCAUCCUUCCAAGGUCGGUAAAAUGAGGACCCAGAUUGUUGGGGACAAUAUGCUGACUCUGUAAACCACUUAGAGCAGACAUGUCAAACACAAGACCUGCAGGGCAGAUGCAGCCCAGGGAGGGCCCAGAUUUGGCCCCUUGGUGCUGUCCCAGAAAUGGCAAGGGACCGCCCCCCCCUCUGCCCCAGCCCUGGCCUACCGCAACCCAGCUGGGUGCCUUGGAGCAUGUGCAGGAAACAGCAGCAGCUCAUUUGCUUUAGCCCAUCCCUCCCCUCCCAGCUUAACCCCGUCAGGCCCGGGUCAGGAGUAGAAGAGGAGGCAGCUGAGGAAGCAGAGGUGUUACAAAAAAGGAGAGCUUCCCCCAUUCUUCCACCCCUUCUCUUUUUUUUAAUAACUUCCUCUCACUCCGUUCAGAUGCAGCUGAGGAAAAGGAUGAGGAGGAGAAAACAGGAAGGGUGUGUGUGUGUGUGUGUGUGUGUGUGUGUAAGAGAG